rnacentral:rRNA from 1 species
GAUUGCAGCCAUAUCACUCUCCAACUCACAACUGGCAACCCACUGAAGCUAAGCAGGUGUGAGCCUGGCCAGUACCUGGAUGGGAGACCUCCUGGGAAAAACUAAGGUUGCUGCUGGAA